rnacentral:lncRNA from 1 species
GGUGUGCUCACCUAGUUAAUACCAAACCUUACUCAGUCAAAAGGUCAACCAAGUACACAAAAGUUUUCAUUCAGAUGGUUUGAAAGAAGUAUUACUGAAAACUCUAAAUUUAAUAUCCUCCUGUACUCACACUCCAUCAAUGAUAAAAUUAUUACAAGUACUUUAAUUAGUAAGGAUUUCUGAUUGUAGGAAUUUUAGAGUGUUAAAAAACCCACAUACACUUUUAUGGACAUUUCCAAAUGCUUUAAACGUUUCCCACUCCAGCCCAUUAUUUGGAGAAGUUCAAGGACAAUAUAAGAACUAAUUAGGCAGUAAGGUCCGCAUCCAGAGUGACUGAAGUGUUCUAUGAUUAUGUUGUGGUGAUGAUGGCAAAGCUCUGUAAAUAGGAAAGACCAUCUUUGAAAUGGAUGAUUUUUAUGGCAUGUACACAUUUUAGCUCAUAGAGCUGUUUUUUGUUGUUGUUGUUGUUGUUUUGUUUUCUUUUGUUUUAAGUAAACCAAUCAGGAAAACUUUGAAUAGAUGUACUUUCAAGAUGCUUUUAAGAACACUAGAAAAAAAAAAUCUGAACAGUCAAAAAGCUGAGGAAAAUCUGUGUGGGCAUUAAGUAUGUAAAGUAUGUAUUGCUUGUAUUGUAUUGCUCAUUCACAAUGCUUCCGCCGUCAAGUAUCUUGUUGUUUUGAAUGUUUUUGCUGUUGUUGCUAUUGUUACUCACAGUGGUGUUGGUGUAUAUGCUACUGCUGCCAGAGAAAUGCUGGGAAGCAAGCAAUAUGUCCUCUGCUAUCUCUUGGUGAAUAAAAUCAAGCCACUGACAGUUUUCAGAGAAAGAAACCACAAUGGACCUACUGUCAAAUACACACAAUUCAUGGACCAAAUUUAUGUCUCCUUUCUUAUGAUCGCAAACUGGCCUGAAAACUUAAGCAGGGAUCUUGUAUCUCUUUCCCAUAAGGAUACAGCCAAGUGAUGGAAAGAAAGAAGAAAAUACCUUUAAAGUCCUCCUUUCUGGAUCUCAUCUAAUCCCUUCUUAUCCUUUUAGUAAUAAAAACAACCUCACAGCAAGUGAAAUUUCUAUA